UAAGCUUCUAAAGUUAAGGCCUUCUGCCCC
rnacentral:piRNA from 1 species